UACAGAGGUCUCAAGCGUUGUUCGGAUUCAUUGGGCGUAAAGGGUGCGUAGGUGGCGCCGUAAGUCAGGUGUGAAAUUUCGGAGCUUAACUCCGAAACUGCAUUUGAUACUGCGGUGCUUGAGGACUGGAGAGGAGACUGGAAUUCACGGUGUAGCAGUGAAAUGCGUAGAUAUCGUGAGGAAGACCAGUGGCGAAGGCGGGUCUCUGGACAGUUCCUGACACUGAGGCACGAAGGCCCAGGGGGAGCAAACGGG
rnacentral:rRNA from 1 species